rnacentral:sRNA from 1 species
CGAAAAGGUAGGGAUGGCAGUGAAAUAGAAAUGGCUAUCCAGUGUAUGUAUGUGUAUCCAGUUAAUAAUUUGCCUUCCUGUGUAAUUCAUUGGUCACGUAGUGCAUGUUAAGGUAUUGUAAAACUUAUUUCUCAGAAAAUAUAGCUCUUUUCUUAGUUAUUAUAAAUUAUUAAAUACCUAUUGACUUGGGUUUCAUCCUAGAAUGAUGGAAACUUGGUGGAAGCCACUGGUCAACCCUCAGCUCCCCAUGAGAAAUUGCCAGUAGUCAUCAGAGUACCAAAACUGAUCUAUUUCUCAGUAAUGAGUGUGUGCCUCAUGCCUGUUUCAAUAUUGGGUUUUGGAGACAUUAUUGUACCAGGCCUGUUGAUUGCAUACUGUAGAAGAUUUGAUGUUCAGACUGGUUCUUCUUACAUAUACUA